UCCCAAAAAUCUUGGUUUCGCUAGGAGUGCAGUAAAGGGAACGUUGGAAGAAGUGUAGAUAUCAUGGCCACAGGCCAGUGGGCCAGAACCUUGAAGCCUGGCAAGGAUUAUGAGACUGGAAACUCCCAUUGAGACUACCAAAUGAAGAGAAAGUUUCAGACUGUUUAACUCGGACUAAGGGAAAAGAAGCAAAUUACAACAAGGAGAAUAUUGCCGAGAAAGCAAAGACAAGUGAAAAGUUGAGUGAAGAAAAAGCAAACAAGGCUUCACGAUCUGCAACUAGGCCACUGGCGAUGAAGAAGAAAAAUGUACAUCUAAAGAAGAUACAUCAGUGAUCAACUAAAGCUGAGCGACUUAUAUUGGAUUGACGAGGUGCAGGGGGGAUAUUAAUUUGGGUCUGUUUAUCUUUCUGUUUGUCAAUCUGUCUGUCUGUAACACUUCGUUCUCUUAACAUUUCCAAAAAGCCAUCAGAUAUUGCAAUGACAUUUUAUAUUAUAACUCAUUUUGACGAUCCCACUGCAGAACAUGAUUAAUCAUCAAUACAAAUUUAAUAUUGUUUAUAAAUUAAAUAUUACCCAUAUAUAUUUUGAAAUGAAAUGGUCAGAGGUCAAGGCCUCUUUCGGGGGCACAUAUUGUUUUUGCCUGUCUGUUUAUCUGUCUAUUGCCAAUUUACCUUUUGCCAUAACUUUUGAAUUAUGAGAGAUAUAGAUACUU